rnacentral:sRNA from 1 species
GUCUUAAAGUGGUCUUCGAAAAAUGGUAUUGCCAACAUCAGGCUCUCCUGCAUUUGUCGUUUCGCAGAUUUGAUAAAAAAGGAGGGCCAACAUCUGUUUCCAGACGGCCCUGAGUGGAUUGUGACACAACAAGACGCCUUCCCGGCGCUCUUUUAUUAUUUCAUAUCCUGUGUUAUUACCGUUGCCACAGAGCAAUCAAUG